CUUCUCCUUCGGGAGCAAGUGACAGGUGGUGCUGGUUGUCGUCAGCUCGUGUCGUGAGAUGUUGGGUUAAGUCCCGCAACGAGGCAACCCUUGAUCUUAGUUGCCAUCAUUUAGUUGGGCACUCUAAGGUGACUGCCGGUGACAAACCGGAGGAAGGUGGGGAUGACGUCAAAUCAUCAUGCCCCUUAUGACCUGGGCUACACACGUGCUACAAUGGACGGUACAAAGAGCUGCAAGACCGCGAGGUGGAGCUAAUCUCAUAAAACCGUUCUCAGUUCGGAUUGUAGGCUGCAACUCGCCUACAUGAAGCUGGAAUCGCUAGUAAUCGCGGAUCAGCAUGCCGCGGUGAAUACGUUCCCGGGCCUUGUACACACCGCCCGU
rnacentral:rRNA from 1 species